AACAGCAGGGGUGUGUGUGUGUGUAUGUGUGUGUGUGUGUGUGUGUGUGUGUGUGUGUGUGUAUUUAGACAGAUGCAUGUGUGCCCAUGUACUAUCUACACUCCAGUGAGUGUAUUAAAGGAGAAAGACUCCAUGAGUUUAUUAUUAAAGUCUUUAUUUAAACAUCUCCUGAAAAUAAGUGAAAUCAGCUAAUACUUAAGUAACACCCAAGGCACAAUUAGAUGUAAGUCCGUUCUUUAAACUUCCCUCUCUGGGUUUCCGAUGAGACUCUUCAGGAGACCCAUUGUUACUUUUCCAUAAGCAUAUGUAAAAGAUUAAAUUUUCUGGGACAUACAUACUUUAAAAGUCACUGCACUCUCAAAAUAACUGGCCAUCUCAACCGUGAGAGCAGCCACCUUCAUUUUACUCAGUUCAUGAAACACUUGAGAAUCUCAACCAUUGCUUCUUGAAUAACAGAAAUGAUCUAAUCCAUAGUCAAAGGUAGAACUCUCAAUAGGAUUCAGGGGACCAAUAGAGAGUUACUCAGUUAAAAUUUAAUUUGGGUGUACAGAAACCACAUUUCAUGGCAUUCGCUGCCACACCUAGUUUUCCUGGCUUUUCAUAAUUACUCUGAAAUGAAGAUUUUGAUUAAUUUUUCCAAAAGGCAAAAUGUUUCUUGCAUUCAUACCACUUUAGAAUGGUGAUGGUAGUUCCAAUAAAUUAUAGAAAAUUUUAAAGAGGGCUUAGGCAUCAACUGAAAAUUUCAAAGUUUAAGAAAUCAUUAUUUUAGUAAGUUCAGAAAUUAAUACUUUGCUUCCCAAUCACUUAAGUGGCAAGCUCCUCUUCUUUUAAAAAAAAAAAAAGAAAAAAAUAGGAAUGUGUUUUGGGGGAUGUUACAGCUUUGGGUUGAAUGAUUUACAACUUAACAUAGAAAACAGUACCUUACCAUUGCUGCAUAUGUUACAGAGAUUUUAUGACAGUCAUAGGUGUGUUGGAUUUUUAAAAUGCAAUGCACAAAUCUACUUCUUUGACUAGGUAUAGACACCAAAAUUUAAGAAUAGUGGGGAGGCAAUAUAUUAUACAAAACAAGCAAUGCCGAGGCUCCGAUUUAGCUCCCUGUCUGAAAGUGGUGACAGGUGGGAGGAUAACAUGCUGCUUCAUCAAGUCUUGUCUCUGUUACAAAAUGUAACCUCAAAUUAAUGGAGUGAGUCAGCACAGUGAAUACAUGAGACAUUGGGUGUGGUUCCAGAUUGGCCAAGCUUAGGAAAAUCACACUCUCCUCUUGCUUGAUUCUGUUUUCAUUUGACUGAUGAAAACGAUACCUGCUGACUGAAGGUAAUCAAUUAGAGCAGCAAAUUUCAGAAUGUAUCUUAUUGUCUUUCAUUAUCAUCAAUGCUUAACAAUUUUAAAAGGCCAUGGUACCUACACGUGUGCUAAGUCCCUUCAGUCAUAUCUGACUCUUUGCAACCCUGUGAACCAUAGCCCACUAGGCUCCUCUGUUCAUGGGAUUCUCCAGGCAAGAAUACUGAAGUGGGUUGCCAUGCCCUCCUCUAGAGGAAUCUUUCUGACCCAGGGAUUGAACCCUCUGUCUCUUAAAUCCCCUGUAUUGGCAGGUGGGUUCUUUACCACUAGCACCACGUAGGAAGCCCAAAUGCAAUGGUAUAAAAAUUUAAAUAUAAAUAUUCAAAGUGUAAAAUGCUUCUAAAAAUAAAUAGGUAAAUAGACUCAAGUCCUGUAAUAUCAAUAUCAGUGCAUAUUGGUUAGAUUAUUGAGUUACAACUAGUCAGUAGUCUGGAAAACUAGGUCUCAUUCAUAUUGAAGUUCCUGAUUUUCCUCUUGUCUAUAAACAUGGAAAACAGUAGUUAUAAACAAGCAAGAAAUAUACUAUAAGAUUUAGAAGAAGGUUAAGUCUUGAGAUUUAGGGAUUAAAUUAUAACCUCUAAUAAAGAUACUGGGAAAAAAAAAAAAUCCCUCCCCAAUUUGCAACCCAUGGAUACAGCUUCAUCAUGCAUGGGUGUGGCUGCCUGACGGAAUUCCCGCCUCUCUGCUCCUUUGCUUUACCUCUGUAAUUAUCUGGGGAACACACAGGUGAUGAUAGCAGAAUAAAAAAACCUGAAAGCCUCUAUUAUCAAUAAUUCUGUGUCAUGCCUUGUAAUAUUAAGUCAAACAAAUAUCUAAGACAUUUAAGGAAAACAUUUUCAGAAAUUAAGAUUUUUCCUUCCAUAAUACAACCACACAUUUUAACAGAUUGACUUUAAAACAAUAAAAUAGUUGGUUAAUAUACAUUACUCAAAAGAUUGCAUUAAGAUGAUAAAUACAGUGCUUUCAGUUUCAAAUGGAAAUUAUCACAUGCUAGGGAAUAAAUAUAGGCUUAUUUCCAAGUUAUUGC